CAGUCGCCGCGGGAAUACGUAGGUCCCGAGCGUUGUCCGGAUUUAUUGGGCGUAAAGGGAGCGCAGGCGGUUUAGUAAGUCUGAAGUUAAAGGCAUUGGCUCAACCAAUGUAUGCUUUGGAAACUGUUAGACUUGAGCGCAGAAGGGGAGAGUGGAAUUCUCGGAGUAGCGGUAAAAUGCGUAGAUCUCGAGAGGAACACCAAUGGCGAAGGCAGCUUCUUGGUCCAUUCCUGACGUUCAUACACGAAAGCGUGGGGAGCAAACAGGAUUAGAUACCCCCGUAGUCCCUGUCUCUUAUACC
rnacentral:rRNA from 1 species